AUGUUCUCUGCAGCUCUGAUUCUGCUGCUGGCUGCUGGAUCCUGUGUUGAUGGUCAGACUCUGACACAAUCUGGAUCAGCAGUUAAAAAACCUGGAGAAUCCCACAGACUGACCUGUACAACCUCUGGAUUCACAUUCAGCGGCUAUUCUAUGGUCUGGGUCAGACAGGCUCCUGGAAAAGGACUGGAGUGGAUCGCUUACAUUCGCUGGGGUGGUAGCAACAUCUACUACUCUCAGUCAGUUGAAGGCCGGUUCACCAUCUCCAGAGACGACAACGUACAGCAGCUGUAUCUGCAGAUGAACAGUUUGAAGACUGAAGAUUCUGCUGUUUAUUAUUGUGCUCGAUACACACAGUGACUGAAGUUGUGUUAGCAGCUGUAC